AGCAGCCGCGGUAAUUCCAGCUCCAAUAGCGUAUAUUAAAGUUGUUGCAGUUAAAAAGCUCGUAGUUGAAUUUCGGGGUCAGCAGGUUGGUCGUGCCUCUGGUACGCACUGGUUUCGCUGAUUCCUCCUUUCUGAAGAACUGUAAUGUCAUUAAUUUGGUGUUGCAGGGAAACAGGACUGUUACUUUGAAAAAAUUAGAGUGUUUAAAGCAAGCUAACGCUUGAAUACAUUAGCAUGGGAUAAUGAAAUAGGACGUUUGAUCCUAUUUUGUUGGUUUCUAGGAUUGGCGUAAUGAUUAAUAGGGAUAGUUGGGGGCAUUAGUAUUCAAUUGUCAGAGGUGAAAUUCUUGGAUUUAUUGAAGACUAACUACUGCGAAAGCAUUUGCCAAGGAUGUUUUCAUUAAUCAAGAACGAAAGUUAGGGGAUCGAAGACGAUCAGAUACCGUCGUAGUCUUAACCAUAAACUAUGCCGACUAGGGAUCGGAUGAUGUUAAUUUUUAAUGACUCAUUCGGCGCCUUAC
rnacentral:rRNA from 1 species